rnacentral:lncRNA from 1 species
UUGGAUUAUUUAAUGAUAUUGCAUAUUACAUACCAGUAAAAUUGGUGGUUGGGAAUGGAUUGGCCAUAAGUUAUAAAAACAAGUUCUUAUAUUCGAACUCUUAUGACAAAAGAUUUAGACGCAGAGAAAUUUUUAAUCUGGAGCAGCUGUCUUGAAUCAUGACUACACCAGAAUAAUAUUAAUGAUGAUGGUGGAAGUUGCAGAAACUUCUAAUCUGGAGCAGCUGUCUUGAAUCAUGACUGCACCAGAAUAAUAUUAAUGAAGAUGGUGGAAGUUGCAGAAACUUUUAAUCUGGAGCAGCUGAAAAGUAGAACUUAAAAGUAUGGACGAAGAAUUUAAAACUUACUUGAAAAGGGACUCGAGCAGGUCUGAAUGGCCCUGCAAACACAAACUUUGCUCUUGGUCCUCUACGUCAGGAAAGGACUGAUCAUCUGAUUGAAGACCGAGUACCGCCAUGGGGCAUUGACAAGCACCUGCAAAAUCAAAAACCCAGAUUGUUAUUCUUUUUUUAUCAAUUCCAAAACUGACGCUAAUUAUCGGCUGCCACGGGCAAGUAUGUUUGGAGUUACUUUCAGUAAUCUCAUUACUUGUUGUUUGGUUAAUUAAUUAUUUUCUUUUCCUCCAGAAACAUAUAUAUAUAUAUAAUGAAUUUGCACAAGACGAUGAUAUACACUGAAUAUAUGACUAAAACACGUUAGUUUAAUUCUCUUUCUCUUUGUUUUUACAGUUCCUCAAACCACCAACUAUUCAAAUCAUUAUAAAUAAAUACUCCAAUUAUUCUCCAAGCAUAUAUCCCACUAACACCAGCGGACCCCUACAUCCCAUUUAUCAUCCAUUUUGUUCGUUUCUCAAUUCUCAUUCCCCC